rnacentral:misc_RNA from 1 species
GUAGGUGAACCUGCGGAAGGAUCAUUACCACGUCUCCACGUACCCACCCCAGCGCAUUCGUUUUCCCCCGCCUCCCGGCCCUCGGAACGAAUUGGAACUGCGAACAGACGCGCAAGAGUGGGGAGCUUCGGCUCCAGCGUCUGGCAGCUACUGACGGUCACUUGCGUCCGUCGACAAUUGCAUUCGAGAGCGCGGCUUUUUCAUCUCUCCGCCUGACGGCCACCCCUCGUCGCGGCGGAUGGGAUUUUCUCAAACCUUUUUCACAGCUUUUGCUAGUUGACUUUUUAUCGUCUUUGCGCGCUUCGGCGCCCGAGACACGUUAUUUCAACGUUAAAAAAUACAACUCUUAGCAAUGGAUAUCUUGGUUCUC